UUUUUCAGUCCGCAUCAGUUCGAUGACUGUCAAGAUCCACCGUUGCAAUAUGGUUUUGGCUGGACUGCUGCGCAUCCCACCGAACUGGUUGGCAAUCUAUGCAAAAAAAAAUAAAAUAAAAUCGAACGACCUUAUUACACUGUUCAUCACGUCUCUCAACUGAAGGCAAAGCCGGCUCUUAUGCUGUUCUUCACCCUGCAAAUCAAGGUGAUGCGUAGCCAGGUUCAGGCUUUAACCUCAAACAACCAAGCGCCUCUUAAUUUUUUUGGGAAGUUUUGCUACAGUUAAGUGAAAUCAACUAACCAACUGAGCAGCUCUGUUGUUACUACUAGUAGUAACAGAUUCGUGUGAUAAAUUCUUUGAGUUAAUUUGCUACUCCAAUAAGUUAGCAUGAAGUUUGAGCUGAAUUGUACAUCUGGUGCAGCUAUACCGUCUGCAGCAAUAAGUGGGC
rnacentral:lncRNA from 1 species